rnacentral:rRNA from 1 species
CGUGCAGGCGGCUUCUUAAGUCUGAUGUGAAAGCCCGGGGCUCACCCCCGGAAGGGCAUUGGAAACUGGGAAGCUAGAGUACCGGAGAGGAAGGUGGAAUUCCUGGUGUAGCGGUGAAAUGCGUAGAUAUCAGGAGGAACACCGGUGGCGAAGGCGGCCUUCUGGACGGAUACUGACGCUGAGACGCGAAAGCGUGGGGAGCAAACAGGAUUAGAUACCCUGGUAGUCCACGCCGUAAACGAUGGGCACUAGGUGUUCGGGGUAUUGACCCCCUGAGUGCCGCAGCUAACGCAUUAAGUGCCCCGCCUGGGGACUACAGCCGCAAGGUUAAA